CUGAGGGACAGGGACCCCCGGGAGCCGGGGCAGAGGGAGUCACGGGAACACCGAACCGAUUCGGUCGGAAGAGAGCUCCGAGACCACCGUGUCAACCAGACCAUGGCACUGAGCUGGUGGAGUUGUAACCAAUUGCUGGACAACCUCGGAAAAAUAUUUGUUGUCAUUCAGGGAUGAGAGAGGAGACUCACAGAACAGCUAUGGACAGCCAAAAAACCUGAAAAUGUGUGGAGAGAAAACCCCAAACAAAACCUCCAACAGGUUUUUAAAUAAAACCUACAAGUUUCUCUGAAUCAUAAAAGAAUUGACUCAUGUCUCAUCCCUCCAUUUAACAGAGAAAAUACUUGUAACCUCCACCACAGCCCAGAUUUAUUCCUUAGUACAUUCACACCCUCAUAAACGAGCACAGUUUAUCUCAAGUCCUGUACCUGCUGAUGCUUCACAAGAAAGCAAAACCCACAGGCUCACAAGUGAAUCACUUCACCACUUGGGCAAUUGCAUUUAGGACUGGGAGUGUUCACUAGCAGGCCACUGGUCCACAGCCAAGCUUUAUUGGCAGUGACAAUAAUUUACCACUUGGAUGUUGUUUACUGGCCUGUUUUCAAUUGCAUUCCCAGUCCACCUACAAGAAAACAAGGCCCACCUUUGGCCUGUUCCUGCACAUUGAAGAGGAUUGCAGUUUUCAGUACUAAAAUUAUUCUGUCUUUAUACAUGG